rnacentral:rRNA from 1 species
UCCGGUUGAUCCCGCCGGACCCGACCGCUAUCGGGGUAGGGCUAAGCCAUGGGAGUCGAACGCCCCGCCGCUGCGGGGCGUGGCGGACGGCUGAGUAACACGUGGCUAACCUACCCUCGGGACGGGGAUAACCCCUCGGGAAACUGGGGCUAAUCCCCGAUAGGCGGGGGGUGCCUGGAAGGGUCCUCCGCCGAAAGGGGCCGCGGGAGGUUAUCGCCCGCGGUCCGCCCGAGGAUGGGGCUGCGGCCCAUCACGGUAGUUGGCGGGGUAAUGGCCCGCCAAGCCUACGACGGGUAGGGGCCGUGAGAGCGGGAGCCCCCAGAUGGGCACUGAGACAAGGGCCCAGGCCCUACGGGGCGCACCAGGCGCGAAAACUCCGCAAUGCGGGCAACCGUGACGGGGCUACCCCGAGUGCCCCCCUUGGGGGGGCUUUUCCCCGCUGUAAGUAGGCGGGGGAAUAAGCGGGGGGCAAGACUGGUGUCAGCCGCCGCGGUAAUACCAGCCCCGCGAGCGGUCGGGGUGCUUACUGGGCCUAAAGCGCCCGUAGCCGGCUCGACAAGUCCCCGCCUAAAGCCCCGGGCUCAACCCGGGGAGUGGCGGGGAUACUGUCGGGCUAGGGGGCGGGAGAGGCCGAGGGUACUCCCGGGGUAGGGGCGAAAUCCAUUAAUCCCGGGAGGACCACCAGUGGCGAAGGCGCUCGGCUGGAACGCGCCCGACGGUGAGGGGCGAAAGCCGGGGGAGCGAACCGGAUUAGAUACCCGGGUAGUCCCGGCUGUAAACGAUGCGGGCUAGGUGUUGGGCGGGCGUGCGAGCCCGCCCAGUGCCGCAGGGAAGCCGUUAAGCCCGCCGCCUGGGGAGUACGGCCGCAAGGCUGAAACUUAAAGGAAUUGGCGGGGGAGCACCACAAGGGGUGGAGCCUGCGGCUUAAUUGGAGUCAACGCCGGGAACCUCCACCGGGGGCGACAGCAGGAUGACGGCCAGGCUGAAGGCCUUGCCCGACGCGCUGAGGGGAGGUGCAUGGCCGUCGCCAGCUCGUGCCGUGAGGUGUCCUGUUAAGUCAGGCAACGAGCGAGACCCCCGCCCCUAGUUGCCAUCCCCGGGGCGACCCGGGGGGCACACUAGGGGGACUGCCGCCGCUAAGGCGGAGGAAGGAGGGGGCAACGGCAGGUCAGCAUGCCCCUAAACCCCCGGGCUGCACGCGGGCUACAAUGGCGGGGACAGCGGGUGCCGACCCCGAAAGGGGGAGGCAAUCCCUCAAACCCCGCCUCAGUUGGGAUCGAGGGCUGCAACUCGCCCUCGUGAACGUGGAAUCCCUAGUAACCGCGCGUCAUCAUCGCGCGGUGAAUACGUCCCUGCUCCUUGCACACACUGCCCGUCGCUCCCCCCGA